GAAGUUGGAGUCGCUAGUAAUCGCAGAUCAGCAACGCUGCGGUGAAUACGUUCCCGGGCCUUGUACACACCGCUCGUCACGUCAUGAAAGUCGGUAACACCCGAAGCCGGUGGCCUAACCCCUCGUGGGAGGGAGCCGUCGAAGGUGGGAUUGGCGAUUGGGACGAAGUCGUAACAAGGUAGCCGUACCGGAAGGUGCGGCUGGAUCACUUCCUUU
rnacentral:rRNA from 1 species